AUUGCUGCGGCUCCCUCACAUAUGGAUAGAAACAUCUAUAUUUUGGAAUAUUCGUCGGCAUGAUUAGCUGUGGUGGCAGUUUUGCUCUCUUUCUCUCUUUCUUUACGGCGCCUCCCUUGCGUGUGAAUGGUAUAACCUUUAGAUUUCCCACUUAAUUGACUGGUCUGAGCGAUUUUGUUUCCGACGAGUGGAAAAUUUGGAGAUUUUUGCUUGAGGUUGUUGGACUGCCUUUUGAUUCAGUUUGACUGAUCUUCCCCCUCGUUUUCGUUCUCUUCUUUGCUGGUUCAGUUGACUUUCAACGUUAAGAAUCGGUGUUUAUCAGUGCUCGUCGCCAUUGUUUUUCUUCUAUGUAUGUGUUUUUUUAUUAUUUUUCUG
rnacentral:lncRNA from 1 species